AUAUAUAUAAAUAUCAGUAUAACUACAUUUCCAACCAAAGCCUAAAAUAUUUGGUACUAUUCUCGGAAUCUCUCUCUACACUAGGGUUCACUACCCUCUCUUCUCGACGGUGGUGAUGGUGACGACCACAGUGAAGGCAGUACCGCGACGGAUCAAUGCUACCGGGGAAUCCAGGUGUCUAAACAGGUAACCCAAAGUCUGGUGGCUUGUUGCUGGAAGGGAUGAAAGUGUCAGCAUUGAAGGUUUAGAACAAGAAGCUCUUAUUGAUAGAUCCAUGAAUUUUUCUUCUGGUGGAUUAGAGGCUACUCUCAAUAGUCUGAGAAGCCAUUUUUUUGUUGGUGGUCGAAGAAAUGUGAUAGUGAGGUGCCUAGUGGACAUAUGUCAUACUUCAAGGAUCGGAGCCUAAGAUCUAAUUAUCAGAUAAGUUCUUGCUGAGUAGAUACUUGUUCUGCUUUUUUUGUCUACUUCGACCCUGUUCACAAACUUAGUUUGUUUUUUAGCAACACUCUUUAAGGGAUUAGCUGAGGCUAGACAAUAUCCUGUUUUAGCAUCCUGUUUUAGCAUAUGGAAUUUGAGCAACACUCUUAAGAAAUUAUUGGUUUAUUCUGAUUUGGUUCAACAGGAAUGUGCACAUUGUUCUGAAGAUUACCUGCCCUAAAGAAUGUAAUUUUGAUGUAUAAUUAUAUAUCUAAGCUGAAAGGUUGAGACUAUGUUGUUGAAAUACAGAACUUUUGGUAUCAAUCUCAUGAGUUAAGGAAAUGUUCCCUCCCAA